UUUGUUUGCUCCUGAGAGGAAGGCAGCCACCCCAAGGUCAGCGCCAGGCAAUGGUACUUCCAGAGGAUGGCGACUGACAAUCUAGUCCUUGGACUCUACCGAGGACCAAGAGCCCCAUAGGUUUCUUCUCUCAUGACUGGCCCAGGCCACAGGACCAUGUUUCAUCCAGUUUCUGCUGCAGAGACAGAUGAUGCUCAGGUCGAUGAUGUCUGUUUCUGGAGCUGGAGCUAACUAAGACUAAGAGACAUUCUCCUGGAAAGCUGGAAAAAGAAAAAGGAACACAAAGUGGAAUUUUUCUGGGACUAGAAAUCUCAAAGAGGAUCACGGAAGUAUCUGUAAAAUUAGUGAAGAAAGACAUGAAGUUCAAGGGAAAGUUACGGGAGCAUCCACGCACACUGCAGAUGCUGCAAUGACCCGUAACUUACUGCCCCUAGACCAUUAAAGAACUCAAGUGUUCAGAAGCCUUAUCCUUUCAUUUACCCAACAAUGUAGCCAGUUGGCUAUAAAAUUAGACUUCUUGGUUGUUCAGAAACUAUUGCUCAGACUCGGUUAGAGCAAAGGGAUCACUUCCAAAUUUAAAGUAUGUCAUUGCCUUGAAAUUCUCCAGAGCAGUGAUGGCGAACCUUUUAGAGACCGAGACGGCAAUCCCAAACCCUCUUGUCGCACAAAGCCAAGACUGCGAUUUUUUUUUUUGUUUGUUUGUUUGUUUUUUUGUUUUUUCGCCGGUACCGGGAACUGAACUCACGACCUUGCGCUGGGGAUUUAGCUCAGCGGCACAGCGCCUGUCCAGCAAACGCAAGACUGCGAUUAAAACCAAGUGUCCCUUUGCUCCACUGCCGAGAGAGAGGGCUCUGCGUACCGCUGCAGUCCGGCUGCCAUAGGUUCAGCACCACCGCUCCAGAGCUUCCAUAUGUUUGUAUGCUUAGAGUAGAGGUUACUUCGUUUUGUAUAUUUUAAAUGUAUAGAAAUGGACCUGUUUAUGUAUUUUUCUGGAAUUUGUGUUUUGCUUCUCAUUAUAUCUACCUUAUUAAUCAACGUUGGUAUGUGUGGUUGUAGCUAAAUUGUAUAGAAUUUGUUUAGACAUUCUACAAUGGGUGGAUAUUUCACACAUUUUUAUCUGAGAAAAGCACUAGUAAUCUUCUACGUAUCUUGUUAUAUGUAUGUCAGGAUUUCUUGGGGACAGUCUCAAAGUUGUUAGAGAAAAACUCAGUUUUAAUAAACAUGACUGUGUUCUCCUAACUUCUAGUUCUAACUAGUUGUGUUAAUAAUUUUAUUUUUCCAUAUCCUAUAUAUUUAUAUAAACAUUACUUUUCAAGAACAUUAGAAUGGACUUUCUGUGAAGAUCACUGUGCUUUGAAAUUAUCAAUGUCACUGAUACUUGUAGUAAUGUAUCCAUAGAGGUCUCUACUUUAUAUAUAUUUGAACUUCCACGUAAUGUUCUUUUUGGUCACGCUAAUCUUUAUGUGAUCAGCUUAGAAGUUUUUAUAUGUGAACAAUUUUAUGUGACAUUUUUCUCUUGCCCCAGGAGAUGAAAGAAGUAGUGUGUUUUACAAAGCAAUUAAAUUGAUUACUUUUUUUCUUGUUUCCGUGCUGGGGAUUGAAACCAGAGGCUCACACAUUGCUAGGGCUUACAUUGAAUGUAUUCACCAGAUACAGUGACAGUAGUCACCACUUGUCUUCUGCCUGAUUUUAGAGGAAAUGCUUUCAGUUUCUACUCUUCAGUAUGAUGAGAGUUGUGGAUUUGCCUUUCUUAUAUUGAGAUACAGGAAGAAAAUUACUACAGACAGUGGCGUUUCUGGAUUUUAUGUCUCCAAGGACUGAGAUCUUUGGGAGAUAUACUCUAGGGAGAUGAGAACAAAGUGAGUGUUCUUUGAGAAGCAACUCCAAAGACUGCAGGGAAUGGAAACCUGUGUGGAGAAUGACAAGAUGUGCUCCUUGCACCAUAAAGAGUCUCAGGAAGAGAACAGGGCUGAAGAAAGCUAUUUCUAAGGAGUUUGAACAUUUUCACAGAGCUCUUGCCAUAGCUCCAGUUUCCCUGCCCCCACACAGCAGAGGAAUCAUGGGGACACAAGGAGAAGUGCUAUCUGAACAAUAAGUGUAUGUCAGUAGAAGAAUGGGCUAAGGCAAGUGAUUUUUCUCUCUACUUUCAUGAGCCACAUAAGGCUGCUAGACUACAACUGGAACCUGAAGAGAAGUCUAUUCCCACCAAUCCUAGCAUGGAGCUGAAGUUCUCUGAAGAAGCUGCCUCUACUUAACCUGCAGACUGCUUGACCUUGACCAGUAGAACAUUAUGACUGUGGAGAGAUGGAAUGUUGCAAGUUGAGAGCCAAAACUGUCUUGGCUAUCUUAGGUUCAUUAAUAGCCAUUUUCUUUCAACCUACAGAGGUUGAAAGAAACCUCUGACCUAACAUUCUUGUGACUAUUGGGUAAAACUCUUGGAAUGGAUGACUAAGCCCAACAGACCUCUACCCUCUACCAACACCAAUGCUAAGAAUGCUAUGAAGUAACAUCUGACACAUGUGCAAUAUAUUUUCCCACUUUACUAUAGUCUGUCUACCCAAGGCCCACACCAAUGUAAUUAGUAAAUGGGCUGAUUUUUAAUUUUCCACAGUUCUGUAACUGUGGAAGUGAGUGAGACCUCAUGCAUGGUAGAAUCUAUUAUUUGGGGCAACCUGAAUCUAUGUUCCUGGCCUGGUCACUUCUAUUUUGCUCAGAAUAAACUGUCUCUUGUAUUCUUUGGA